UAAACAUUCAAUACACAAUAGGCUCUUAUUACUAUUAUUUCAUCCGCUAACCUUGUACUUACCUGAAAUUUUUUCCCAGCUGGCGGUUGGCUUAAAAGCCUCUGAGGCUACCAUAGACCUAGUGCAGGAUGGUUUUCCAGGGGUGGAUCCUUGCAAAGAGCUAGGGAGCCUCCUCCAGGCUCCUGCACCUGGGAGUAGUAUUACCCCUAUUUUGUACCUGAGGAAAUUCACCUAUGAUCUCAGAACUAGUAAGAGCCACGAUUGGAACCCAGGGAGUCUGGCUCCAGAGCCUGAACCUUUAUCCACUAUGUUAUUCUGGCCUGUGUUGUUCUCCCAUGGUUGAGUAAAUCCACAAAUUUCAUUUGGUGCUACAUUGUUAUGUCAUGCCUUACUCCUCUUACUUGUAAUGAAUUGCACUCAGCACGACACUGGAAAGUUUCUGUGACAAAAUGUUUUAUCUUCCAGAUAGCACUUUAGUAAGACACAUCCUAAAUGUUAGCAAAAACGAAUUGUACGCAUAUUUUUAAAGUUUUAUUUAUUUAUUUUUGAGAGAGAAAACACAAGUGGGGGGAGGGGUAGAGAGACAGAGAGACAGAGAGAUAGAGAGGGAAACAGAAUCCAAAGCAGGCUCCAGGCUCUGAGCUGUCAGCACAGAGCCCGAUGCGGGGCUUGAACUCACGAACUGUGAGAUCAUGACCUGAGCUGCAGUCGGACACUUAACCAACUGAGCCACCCAGGUGCCUCAAAUCAUACGUAUUAAUCAAAAUUCGGUGGCAACCAAUGAAGAAUGGACAUGAUAGUGCAUGAGUUUGAGAAUUGCUGGUGUGCUGGCUGAUAAUAAGUCUUUGAUAUACUCAACCAUUCCAUCCUCUUUGAUGGGUUAUAUAUAAAAUUUUGCCCCCCAUUUCCCUGAGAAAAUGUCUUCCUGGAGUUGGUGGCAUGCUUCAUCUCUCUGCUUGGCAAACUUUUCAUCUUGGGGAGAAGCAAGGCCUCCUUCUCUCUUUAAUGACCUCAAAACCCUUCUCUAUCAUUUGCAAUGGUCAGAAGAACGUGGGCCCCUACUUCAAAAGAGUAAGGCCAAGCUUAUAUUCAGAGGUUUUGAUUUCUUUACAACCGUGUUUCUGGGUCCUUGGUACUUUGCCAAAUCACCCUCACCCCUUUGCAGGAAAGUGCCAGUGGUAUUAAUCCAGACUUUCUUAGGUAACCUGCACUUUUUCACUUUUCUAGAUGGAAUUGCAAGUGGUCAACCAGCCCUGGAGAUGGUUUUGGUGCCUGGAUCCUGGAGAUUUGUUUGGCCUCUUUGCCAAGGAUGGAAGCUCUCGUAGAGUUUGAUGGAAAUCCCCGGUCCCGUUCAUCUGCGUUUGUGACUGAGGUGGAGAUGGCUGACCGCCGUUCCUGCUUUAAGGAGUCUUUGGCCUCUCACCGGGAAGUGAGUAGGUGACAUCUUCCUUACCCAGAAGUGAUUUCAUUUGGCUCAGAUGGAGGUCACAUUGCCCGGGAAUUGACACGAUCAGCCCACUUUGGCUCUGUGCCAGGAUCUACAGCAGUCAAAGUGGGACCCAUUACUGGUAGGCAUCUCCAGGAUGCCCUGGGUCCUCCAAAUGAGUUCAACCCUGGAGUGCAAGGUCACGUAUCAGCGAUAGAGGACUUCCCAGUGUGCUAUGAUCUUGUCUUCGUGAGCUCUUACCGUAGUAAUAUCACC
ensembl:lncRNA